CCAAAUACAGCGUAAUUACUAAUUUUGAUAAGUUAUAGUGGAGAACUAUGGUAUUGAUAUAGUAAUUUAUGAUUUUUGGUUAUUUCAAAUGUAUAUAUAUAUAUAUAUAUAU